rnacentral:rRNA from 1 species
AUUGAACGCUGGCGGCAGGCCUAACACAUGCAAGUCGAGCGGUAGAGAGAAGCUUGCUUCUCUUGAGAGCGGCGGACGGGUGAGUAAUGCCUAGGAAUCUGCCUGGUAGUGGGGGAUAACGUUCGGAAACGGACGCUAAUACCGCAUACGUCCUACGGGAGAAAGCAGGGGACCUUCGGGCCUUGCGCUAUCAGAUGAGCCUAGGUCGGAUUAGCUAGUUGGUGGGGUAAUGGCUCACCAAGGCGACGAUCCGUAACUGGUCUGAGAGGAUGAUCAGUCACACUGGAACUGAGACACGGUCCAGACUCCUACGGGAGGCAGCAGUGGGGAAUAUUGGACAAUGGGCGAAAGCCUGAUCCAGCCAUGCCGCGUGUGUGAAGAAGGUCUUCGGAUUGUAAAGCACUUUAAGUUGGGAGGAAGGGCAGUAAAUUAAUACUUUGCUGUUUUGACGUUACCGACAGAAUAAGCACCGGCUAGACUC